CGAUGAUACGCGAGGAACCUUACCAGGGCUUAAAUGUAGUAUGACAGGGGCAGAGACGCCUUUUUCUUCGGACAUAUUACAAGGUGCUGCAUGGUUGUCGUCAGCUCGUGCCGUGAGGUGUCAGGUUAAGUCCUAUAACGAGCGCAACCCCUGUUGUUAGUUACCAGCACAUUAUGGUGGGGACUCUAACAAGACUGCCGGU
rnacentral:rRNA from 11 species